GGAUCGAUCGGGAUACUCAUCAAAUUACAUCAGAAAACCGAGAAUGUUUCGCAUGUCAAUGGCGGGCCACGCCCGAAAGGGUAACGAAAGUCGGUGGAUUACAAAGAUAUGCGAACCCUCAAAUCUUACUUACUCGGAGUUUCAUCACAUCUCCUCCCGGCUUU
rnacentral:sRNA from 1 species